rnacentral:lncRNA from 1 species
GGCACAGGGCGAUGCCGUGGCGCCCAUCCACCGCGCCCCCCUUCCUAUAUCUACCCGACACCCUCCCUCGCCGGAAAACCCUAGCCGCUUUCCCCUUCCCCCUCGCUCGUAUCUCCUCUAAAUAGUACGUGCUCGAGACGUCGACGGCGCGCCCUCGUCGAUCCCGUGGUCACCUUGCUCCCCGCCGGUUAGCUCAAUGUCCGGGAGCUUUGUCUGCCUCCUCUACGUCGACCACGCACAUAAGAUCAAGGCCGGAGACCCUACCUCGACUGGAUCGAGCUCGUCCUCGCCUUCGGUCACCAACGCCACUCCGACGAACUACACCACCCCCUGCGCUUCUAGUCACUCACCGGGCCUUCGUGCGCCUCCUUGGUGAGCUCCUCCCUCGGAUCCCCCCUUUUAGCCCUUCGAUUUGAACGCCGUAGGCCGUCAUCUCCGUCGUGCCCGAACCCCGCGUACGCGUACGUGCGUGCGAUUGUUGCUGCUUGUUCUACUACCGCUAGCUGCCUCGCUGGUCGCGUGUGCCUGCUGCUCGUGCGUACUGCUGCUGCCUUGCGCCCGCCUUCUGGCCGCUCCCGCACCACCUGCUGCUGGUUCUACAGCGGCCGUCGCCUGCAGCUUGUCGCUGCCGCCCGUGUGCUAGCCCCGCGUCUCCCACGCUCGCCAUUGCCGGCGGACACGCCCGCUGGCGCCCGGACCGCGCGCCCACCCCUCACCGCGGCCCCGGCAGGCUGCGACCCGCUCGGCCCCUCCGCUCGCUGGCCGUCGUUCGCCGCCCCAGCGCCCUUGGCCGAGAGCCCCUCUGCACCCGCGCACACGCGCGCUGAUCCACACGGUGGUCGCGCCCGGCCAUGCCCCACCGUGCUGGCCGACCGCGCGCCUGCGUCGGCCGCCCCGGCCCCGUUCUGCGCGCUCACAGUCACAGCGCCGCGCCCCACGAAGCUCGUUUGCAUGUGCUGCUACUCCGCUGAAUCUACUACUACUUGUGGCUACUGUAGCUAUAUGGCUAGCUAUAGAAAUUUUACACUGACUAACCCCCUAAACAGCCCCUAAUCAGCGGUUAAACAGUUUUUAAUAUGUGUAAAAAUAAUAUGAGUAGGUAGUACACUUGGCGAGGCUCAAAUGUUUCCAUUGGAACAAAUUCAUUUGAUGCAUGAAUUAAAUCAUAUAAAAAUCACAAAUUGCUAUCUUCUGUUAAGAGAGAACAUAAUUAACCCCAUAGCAUAGUGUGUUGCGUCCUGUGUGUGGUGUGUGUGUGUGGCUGGCUUGGCCACGGCCGUGUGUGGCCGGCCCUGUGUAGUGGCACACUACCAUGUGACCCCACCCCCUCUAUUUAUCCAUUUAUCAAAACUAUUAAACUUGUGUCUAUGACACCUAGGCCCCACUGCCUAGUGUUGAUUAGUCAACCCAGUCAAUGUUGACUGUUGACCUUGCUGACUCAUUGCCCCCGGGCCACUGUCAUACACCCUGGCUAGCACAGCCCCAUGUGACAAAAGUAUUUAGUCACUUAAUUUUCGAAUUAAGAUAAUUAGAUAAUCAUUUAAACUUUAAAAAAUCAUAGAAAAUAAUCUGUAACUCGGAUGAAAAAGUUUUGUACAUGAAAGUUGCUCAGAACGACGAGACGAAUCCGAAUACGCAGUCCGUUCGUCCGCCACGCGUCCCUGGCAUAGCAAACGUUGAACUUUUUCCCUCCGGUUCAUCUGUCUGACAAACGUCCGGAACCGGGAAAACUUUCCCGGGUGUUUCCCCCUUCGCUAGUAUUGCCUAGCGUUGCGCUAGAACACUUAUAGCCCUGUGUAUUGUCUUGUUAUGCUUAUGUUUGCGUGUAUUUACUGUUUCUUCCCCCCUCUUCUUCUCCAGUAGACCUCGAGACCGCUGCUGAUGCCCCUGUGAUCGACUAUGUCGACGACGACCCUCCUUCUUGUCUGAGCAACCAGGCAAGUGUUGGGGAACGUAGCAGAAAUUCAAAAUUUUCCUACGCGUCACCAAGAUCUAUCUAUGGAGAAACCAGCAACGAGUAGAAAGGAGAGUGCAUCUACAUACCCUUGUAGAUCGCUAAGCGGAAGCGUUCAAGUGAACGGGGUUGAUGGAGUCGUACUCGUCGUGAUUCAGAUCACCGAUGUUCCUAGUGCCGAACGGACGGCACCUCCGCGUUCAACACACGUACAGCCCGACGAUGUCUCCCACGCCUUGAUCCAGCAAGGGGAGAGGGAGAGGUUGAGGAAGACUCCAUCCAGCAGCAGCACAACGGCGUGGUGGUGAUGGAGGAGCGUGGCAAUCCUGCAGGGCUUCGCCAAGCACCUACGGGAGAGGAGGAGGUGUCACGGGAGGGAGGGAGGCGCCAAUGGCUCAGGUAUAGAUGCCCUCCCUCCCCUCCACUAUAUAUAGGGGCAGGGGAGAGGGGGGAGGCGCAGCCUUGCCCCUUCCUCCAAGGAAGGGGUGCGGCUAAGAGGGGGGGAGGAGUCCAUCCUCCCCAAGGCACCUCGGAGGUGCCUUCCCCCUUUAGGACUCUCCCCUUUUUCCUAUAUCUUGGCGCAUGGGCCUCUAGGGGCUGGUGCCCUUGGCCCAUGUAGGCCAAGGCGCACCCCCUACAGCGCAUGUGGCCCCCGGGGCAGGUGGCCCCACCCGGUGGGCCUCCGGGACCCUUCCGAUGGUCCCGGUACAAUACCGAUGACCCCUAAACUUGUCCCGAUGGCCAAAACAGGACUUCCUAUAUAUAAAUAUUUACCUCCGGACCAUUCCGGAACUCCUCGUGACAUUCGGGAUCUCAUCCGGGACUCCGAAAAACAUUCGGUAACCACAUACAAACUUCCUUUAUAACCCUAGCGUCAUCGAACCUUAAGUGUGUAGACCCUACGGGUUCGGGAGACAUGUAGUCAUGACCGAGAUGCUCUCCGGUCAAUAACCAACAGCGGGAUCUGGAUACCCAUGUUGGCUCCCACAUGUUCCACGAUGAUCUCAUCGGAUGAACCACGAUGUCAAGGACUCAAUCAAUCCCUUAUACAAUUCCCUUUGUCUAGCGGUAUGGUACUUGCCCGAGAUUCGAUCGUCAGUAUACCGAUACCUUGUUCAAUCUCGUUACCGGCAAGUCUCUUUACUCGUUCCGUAACACAUCAUCCCGUGAUCAACCCCUUGGUCACAUUGUGCACAUUAUGAUGAUGUCCUACCGAGUGGGCCCAGAGAUACCUCUCCGUUUACACGGAGUGACAAAAUCCCAAUCUCAAUUCGUGUCAACCCAACAGACACUUUCAGAGAUACCCGUAGUGUACCUUUAUAGCCACCCAGUUACGUUGUGACGUUUGGCACACCCAAAGCACUCCUACGGUAUCCGGGAGUUGCACAAUCUCAUGGUCUAAGGAAAUGAUACUUGACAUUAGAAAAGCUUUAGCAUACGAACUACAUGAUCUUGUGCUAGGCUUAGGAUUGGGUCUUGUCCAUCACAUCAUUCUCCUAAUGAUGUGAUCCCGUUAUCAACGACAUCCAAUGUCCAUGGUCAGGAAACCAUAACCAUCUAUUGAUUAACGAGCUAGUCAACUAGAGGCUUACUAGGGACAUGGUGUUGUCUAUGUAUCCACACAUGUAUCUGAGUUUCCUAUCAAUACAAUUCUAGCAUGGAUAAUAAACGAUUAUCAUGAACAAGGAAAUAUAAUAAUAAUCAAUUUAUUAUUGCCUCUAGGGCAUAUUUCCAACAGUCUCCCACUUGCACUAGAGUCAAUAAUCAGCUGCUGAUAUGUGAUUAACACUCAAGGUCACAUCCCCAUGUGACUAACACCCAAGAGUUUUGGGUUUGAUCAUGUUAUGCUUGUGAGAGAGGUUAUAGUCAAUGGGUCUGAAUCUUUCAGAUCCGUGUGUGCUUUACAAAUCUCUAUGUCAUCUCCUAGAUGCAGCUACCACGCUCUAUUUGGAGCUAUUCCAAAUAACUGUUCUACUUGGAGCUAUUCUAAAUUGUUGCUCCGUUAUACGUAUCAUGUAUCUCUACUCAGAGCUAUCCGGAUAGGUGUUAAGCUUGCAUCGACGUAACCCUUUACGACGAACUCUUUUACCACCUCCAUAAUUGAGAAAAUUCCUUAGUCCACUAGUUACUAAGGAUAACUUUGACCGCUGUCCUGUGAUCCAUUCUUGGAUCACUUUUGUACCCCUUGACUGACUCAUGGCAAAGCACAUUUCAGGUGCGGUACACAGCAUAGCAUAUUGUAGAGCCUAUGUCUUAAGCAUAGGGGACGACCUUCGUUCCUUUCUCUCUAUUCAGCCGUGGUCGAGCUUUAAGUCUUAACUUCAUACCUUACAACUUAGGCAAGAACUCCUUCUUUGACUGAUCCAUCUUGAACACCUUCAAGAUCAUGUCAAGGUAUGUGCUCGUUUGAAAGUACUAUUAAGCGUUUUGAUCUAUCCUUAUAGAUCUUGAUGCUCAAUGUUCAAGUAGUUUAAUCCAGGUUUUCCAUUGAAAACACUUUCCAAAUAACCCUAUAUGCUUUCCAGAAAUUCUACGUCAUUUCUGAUCAUCAAUAUGUCAAUAACAUAUACUCCUCAGAAAUUCUAUAGUGCUCCCACUCACUUCUUUGGAAAUACAAGUUUCUCAUGAACUUUGUACAAACCCAAAAUCUUUGAUCAUCAUCAAAGCAUACAUUCCAACUCCGAGAUGCUCACUCCAGUCCUCAGAAGGAUUGCUGGAGCUUUGCAUACUUAUUAGCAUAUUUCAGGAUAGACAAAACCUUCCGGUUGUAUCACAUACAACCUUUCCUCAAGAAUCGUCGAGGAAACAAUGUUUUGACAUCCUAUCUGCAAGAUUUCAUAAAUAAUGCAGUAAUUGCUAAUAUAAUUCCAACAGACUCUUAGCAUCACUACGAGUGAGAAAGUCUCAUCGUAGUCAACACCUUGAACUUGUCGAAAAACAUCUUAACGACAAGUCGAGCUUUCUCAAUGGUGACACUUACCAUCAUUGUCUGUCUUCCUUUCAAAAUCCAUAUGUACCCAACAGCCUUACGACCAUCAAGUAGUUCUUCCAAAGUCUACACUUUGUUUUCAUACAUGGAUCCUCUCUCGGGUUUUAUGGCCUUGAGCCAUUUAUCGGAAUCCGGGCCCACCAUUGCUUCUCCAUAGCUCGUAGGUUCAUUGUUGUCUAGCAACAUGACUUCCAAGACAGGAUUACCGUACCACUCUGAAGUAGUACGCAUCCUUGUCACCCUACGAGGUACGGUAGUGACUUGAUCCGAAGUUUCAUGAUCACUAUCAUAAGCUUCUACUUCAAUUGGUGUAGGUGCCACAGGAACAACUCCCUGUGCCCUGUCACACACUAGUUGAAGAGACGGUUCAAUAACCUCAUCAAGUCUCCACCAUCCUCCCACUCAAUUCUUUCGAGAGAAACUUUUCCUCGAGAAAGGACCCGAUUAAAGAAAAAACAAUCCAUAUUGCUUUCGGAUCUGAAUUAGGAGGUAUACCCAACUGUUUUGGGUGUCCUGUGAAGAUGCAUUUUAUCCGCUUUGGGUUCGAGCUUAAUCCUGAAACUUUUCACAUAAGCGUCGCAGCCCCAAACUUUCAAGAAACGACAAUUUAGGUUUCUCCAAACCAUAGUUCAUACGGUGUCGUCUCAACAAAAUUAUGUGGUGCCCUAUUUAAAGUGAAUGUGGUUGUCUCUAAUGCCUAACCCAUGAACGAUAGUGGUAACUCGAUAAGAGACAUCAUGGUAUGCACCAUAUCCAAUAGGGUGCAACUAUGACGUUUGGACACACCAUCACACUAUGGUGUUCCAGGCUUUAUCAGUUGUGAAACAAUUUUCACAAUGUCUUAAUUCUGUGUCAAACUCGUGAUUCAGAUAUUCAUCUCUAUGAUCAUAUCAUAGAUCUUUUAUCCUCUUGUCACGACGAUCUUUCAACUUCACACUGAAAUUACUUGAACCUUUCAAUAAUUCAGACUCGUGAUUCAUCAAGUAAAUAUACUCAACAUCUACUCGAAUCAUCUGUGAAGUAAGAACAUAACGAUAUUCACUGCAUGCCUCAGCACUCAUUGGACUGCACAUAUCAAAAUGUGUUACUUCCAACAAGUUGCUAUCUUGUUCCAUCUUACUGAAACCGAGGCUUUUCAGUCAUCUUGCCUAUGUGGUAUGAUUUGCAUAUCUCAAGUGAUUCAUAAUCAAGUGAGUCCAAAUGAUCCAUCUGCAUGGAGUUUCUUCAUGCGUAUACACCAAUAGACAUGGUUCGCAUGUCUCAAACUUUUCUAAAACGAGUGAGUCCAAAGAUCCAUCAACAUGGAGCUUCUUCAUGCGUUUUAUACCAUUAUGACUUACGUGGCAAUGCCACAAGUAGGUGGUACUAUCAUUACUAUCUUUUGGCAUGAACAUGUGUAUCACUACGAUCGAGAUUUAAUAAACCAUUCAUUUUAGGUGUAAGACCAUUGAAGGUAUUAUUCAAAUAAACAGAGUAACCAUUAUUCUCCUUAAAUGAAUAACCAUAUUGCGAUAGACGUAAUCCAAUCAUGUCUAUGCUCAACGCAAACACCAAAUAACAAUUAUUUAGGUUUAACACCAAUCUCUUUGGUAGAGAGAGCGUGCGAUGCUUGAUCAUAUCAAGCUUGGAAAAACUUCCAACACAUAUCGUCAGCUCACCUUUAGCUAGUCUCCGUUUAUUCCGUAGCCUUUUGUUUCGAGUUACUAACACUUAGCAACCGAACCGGUAUCUAAUACCCUGGUGCUACUAGGAGUACUAGCAAAGUACACAUUAACACAAUGUAUAUCCAAUAUACUUCUAUCGACCUUGCCAGCCUUCUUAUCUACCAAGUAUCUAGGGUAAUUCUGCUCCAGUGGUUGUUCCCCUUAUUACAGAAGCACUUAGUCUCAGGUUUGGGUUUCACCUUGGGUUUCUUCACUAGAGCAGCAGCUGAUUUGUCGUUUCAUGAAGUAUCCCUUCUUGCCCUUGCCCUUCUUGAAACUAGUGGUUUCAGCAACCAUCAACAAUUGAUGCUCCUUCUUGAUUUCUACUUUCGCGGUGUCAAUCAUCGUGAAUACCUCAGGGAUCAUCAUAUCUAUCCCUGAUAUGUUAUAGUUCAUCACGAAGCUCUAACAGCUUGGUGGCAAUGACUUUGGAGAACCAUCACUGUCUUAUCUGGAAGAUCAACUCCCACUCGAUUCAAAUGAUUGUUGUACUCAGACAAUCUGAGCACAAACUCAACAAUUGAGCUUUUCUCCUUAGUUUGCAGGUUAAGAAAGUCAUCGGAGGUCUUAUAGCUCUUGACAUGGGCACGAGCCUGAAAUGCCAAUUUCAGCCCUCAAAACAUCUCAUAUGUUUCGCGAUGUUUCAAAAACGUCUUUGGUGCCUCAACUCUAAACCGUUUAACUGAACUAUCACGUAGUUAUCAAAACGUGUAUGUCAGAUGUUCGCAACAACCACAGACAACGUUCGAGGUUCAGCACACUGAGCGGUGCAUUAAGGACAUAAGCCUUCUAUGAAGCAAUGAGGACAAUCCUCAGUUUAAGGACCUAGUCCGCAUAAUUGCUACUAUCAACUUUCAACUAAUUUUUCUCUAGGAACAUAUCUAAACAGUAGAACUAUAGCAUGAGCUACGACAUAAUUUGCAAAAACCUUUUGACUAUGUUCAGGAUAAUUAAGUUCAUCUUAUGAACUCCCACUCAGAUAGACAUCCCUCUAGUCAUCUAAGUGAUUACAUGAUCCGAGUCAAACUAGGCCGUGUCCGAUCAUCACGUGAGACGGACUAGUCAUCAUCGGUGAACAUCUUCAUGUUGAUCGUAUCUUCUAUACGACUCAUGUUCGACCUUUCGGUCUCCGUGUUCCGAGGCCAUGUCUAUACAUGCUAGGCUCGUCAAGUUAACCCUAAGUGUUUCGCGUGUGUAAAUCUGUCUUACACCCGUUGUAUGUGAACGUUAGAAUCUAACACCCGAUCAUCACGUGGUGCUUCGAAACACGAACUGUCGCAACGGUGCACAGUUAGGGGAGAACACUUCUUGAAAUUGUUGUAAGGGAUCAUCUUAUUUACUACCUUCGUUCUAAGCAAAUAAGAUGUAUAAACAUGAUAAACAUCACAUGCAAUCAAAUAGUGACAUGAUAUGGCCAUCAUCACUUUGCUCCUUUUGAUCUCCAUCUUCGGGGCUCCAUGAUCAUCAUCGUCACCGGCAUGACACCAUGAUCUCCAUCAUCGUGUCUUCAUGAAGUUGCCUCGCCAACUAUUACUUCUACUACUAUGGCUAACGGUUAGCAAUAAAGUAAAGUAAUUACAUGACGUUUAAGUUGACACGCAGGUCACAAAUAAAUAAAGACAACUCCUAUGGCUCCUGCCGGUUGUCAUACUCAUCGACAUGCAAGUCGUGAUUCCUAUUACAAGAACAUGAUCAAUCUCAUACAUCACAUAUAUCAUUCAUCACAUCCUUUUUGGCCAUAUCACAUCACAUAGCAUACCCUGCAAAAACAAGUUAGACGUCCUCUAAUUGUUGUUUGCAUGUUUUACGUGGCUGCUCUGGGUUUCUAGCAAGAACGUUUCUUACCUACGCAUGAACCACAACGUGAUAUGCCAAUUGCUAUUUACCCUUCAUAAGGACCCUUUUCAUCGAAUCCGAUCCGACUAAAGUGGGAGAGACAGACACCCGCCAGCCACCUUAUGCAACUAGUGCAUGUUUGUCGGUGGAACCGGUCUCACAUAAGCGUACGUGUAAGGUUGGUCCGGGCCGCUUCAUCCCACGAUGCCGCCGAAUCAAGAUAAGACUAGUAACGGCAAGCAUAUUGAACAAUAUCGACGCCCACAACUACUUUGUGUUCUACUCGUGCAAAGAAUCUACGCAAUAGACCUAGCUCAUGAUGCCACUGUUGGGGAACGUAGCAGAAAUUCAAAAUUUUCCUACGCGUCACCAAGAUCUAUCUAUGGAGAAACUAGCAACGAGUAGAAAGGAGAGUGCAUCUACAUACCCUUGUAGAUCGCUAAGCGGAAGCGUUCAAGUGAACGGGGUUGAUGGAGUCGUACUCGUCGUGAUUCAGAUCACCGAUGAUCCUAGUGCCGAACGGACGGCACCUCCGCGUUCAACACACGUACAGCCCGACGAUGUCUCCCACGCCUUGAUCCAGCAAGGGUGGAGGGAGAGGUUGAGGAAGACUCCAUCCAGCUGCAGCACAACGGCGUGGUGGUGAUGGAGGAGCGUGGCAAUCCUGAAGGGCUUCGCCAAGCACCUACAGGAGAGGAGGAGGUGUCACGGGAGGGAGGGAGGCGCCAAGGGCUCAGGUAUAGAUGCCCUCCCUCCCCUCCACUAUAUAUAGGGGCAGGGGAGAGGGGGGAGGCGCAGCCUUGCCCCUUCCUCCAAGGAAGGGGUGCGGCUAAGAGGGGGGGAGGAGUCCAUCCUCCCCAAGGCACCUCGGAGGUGCCUUCCCCCUUUAGGACUCUCCCCUUUUUCCUAUAUCUUGCCGCAUGGGCCUCUAGGGGCUGGUGCCCUUGGCCCAUGUAGGCCAAGGCGCACCCCCUACAGCCCAUGUGGCCCCCGGGGCAGGUGGCCCCACCCGGUGGGCCCCCGGGACCCUUCCGGUGGUCCCGGUACAAUACCGAUGACCCCGAAACUUGUCCCGAUGGCCGAAACAGGACUUCCUAUAUAUAAAUCUUUACCUCCGGACCAUUCCGAAACUCCUCGUGACGUCCGGGAUCUCAUCCAGGACUCCGAACAACAUUCGUUAACCACAUACAAACUUCCUUUAUAACCCUAGCGUCAUCGAACCUUAAGUGUGUAGACCCUACGGGUUCGGGAGACAUGUAGUCAUGACCGAGAUGCUCUCCGGUCAAUAACCAACAGCGGGAUAUGGAUACCCAUGUUGGCUCCCACAUGUUCCACGAUGAUCUCAUCGGAUGAACCACGAUGUCAAGGACUCAAUCAAUCCCGUAUACAAUUCCCUUUGUCUAGCGGUAUGGUACUUGCCCGAGAUUCGAUCGUCGGUAUACCGAUACCUUGUUCAAUCUCGUUACCGGCAAGUCUCUUUACUCGUUCCGUAACACAUCAUCCCGUGAUCAACCCCUUGGUCACAUUGUGCACAUUAUGAUGAUGUCCUACCGAGUGGGCCCAGAGAUACCUCUCCGUUUACACGGAGUGACAAAAUCCCAAUCUCGAUUCGUGCCAACCCAACAGACACUUUCAGAGAUACCCGUAGUGUACCUUUAUAGCCACCCAGUUACGUUGUGACGUUUGGCACACCCAAAGCACUCCUACGGUAUCCGGGAGUUGCACAAUCUCAUGGUCUAAGGAAAUGAUACUUGACAUUAGAAAAGCUUUAGCAUACGAACUACAUGAUCUUGUGCUAGGCUUAGGAUUGGGUCUUGUCCAUCACAUCAUUCUCCUAAUGAUGUGAUCCUGUUAUCAAUGACAUCCAAUGUCCAUGGUCAGGAAACCGUAACCAUCUAUUGAUUAACGAGCUAGUUAACUAGAGGCUUACUAGGGACAUGGUGUUGUCUAUGUAUCCACACAUGUAUCUGAGUUUCCUAUCAAUACAAUUCUAGCAUGGAUAAUAAAUGAUUAUCAUGAACAAGGAAAUAUAAUAAUAAUCAAUUUAUUAUUGCCUCUAGGGCAUAUUUCCAACAAAACAAAAGGUAUAUGUGAUAUACAUGUAAUUGAUGUGUACCUUACUAGUGCCCGUAGUGGCUCCUGGGUGAAACGAGUAGGAAAAUUUUUGUGAAACGAGUAGGAAAAUUUUUGUUGCUAGAUGAACUCCUAGAUGAUCUUGGUGAAACGAGUAGGAAAAUUUUUGUUUUCUGCAACGUUCCCCAACAGUGGUAUCAGAGCUAGGUCUAUGCGUAGUUCUUCUUGCGCGAGUAGAACACAAUUUGUUGUGGGUGUAGAUUUGUCAACUUUCUUGCCGUUACUAGUCCUUUCUUGCUUCAGCGGUAUUGUGGGAUGAAGCGGCCCGGACCAACCUUACACGUACGCUUACGUGAGACUGGUUCCACCGACUAACAUGCACUAGUUGCAUAAGGUGGCUGGCGGGUGUCUGUCUCUCCUACUUUAGUUGGAGCGGAAUCGAUGAACAGGGUCCUUAUGAAGGGUAAAUAGAAGUUGACAAAUCACGUUGUGGCUUUAACGUAGGUAAGAAAACGUUCUUGCUAGAACCCUAAUUCAGCCACGUAAAACUUGCAACAACAAUUAGAGGACGUCUAACUUGUUUUUGCAGCAAGUGGUUUGUGAUAUGAUAUGGCCAAAGUUGUGAUGAAUGAUGAAUGAUCUAUAUGUGAUGUAUGAGAUGUUCAUGCUAUUGUAAUAGGAUUCACGACUUGCAUGUCGAUGAGUAUGACAACCGGCAGGAGCCAUAGGAGUUGUCUUUAUUCUUUUAUAUGACCUGCGUGUCAUCAAGAAACGCCAUGUAAAUUACUUUACUUUAUUGCUAAACGCGUUAGCCAUAGUAGUAGAAGUAAUAGUUGGUGAGCAACUUCAUGGAGACACGAUGAUGGAGAUCAUGGUGUCAAGCCGGUGACAAGAUGAUCAUGGAGCCCCAAGAUGGAGAUCAAAGGAGCUAUGUGAUAUUGGCCAUAUCAUGUCACGUUUAUUAUUUGAUUGCAUGUGAUGUUUAUCAUGUUUUGCAUCUUGUUUACUUAGAACGACGGUAGUAAAUAAGAUGAUCCCUCACAAUAAUUUCAAGAAGUGUUCCCCCUAACUGUGCACCGUUGCGACAGUUCGCUGUUUCAAAACACCACGUGAUGAUCGGGUGUUUUAUUCAGACGUUCACAUACAACGGGUGUAAGACAGAUUUACACAUGCAAACACUUAGGUUGACUUGACGAGCCUAGCAUGUACAGACAUGGCCUCGAAACACAGAAGACCGAAAGGUCGAGCAUGAGUCGUAUAGAAGAUACGAUCAACAUGAAGAUGUUCACCGAUGUUGACUAGUCCGUCUCACGUGAUGAUCGGACACGGUCUAGUUUAACUCGGAUCAUGUAAUACUUAGAUGACUAGAGGGAUGUCUAAUCUAAGUGGGAGUUCACUAAUAAUUUGAUUAGUUGAACUUAAUUAUCAUGAACUUAGUCUAAAAUCUUUGCAAUAUGUCUUGUAGAUCAAAUGGCCAACGUAGUCCUCAACUUCAACGCGUUCCUAGAGAAAACUAAGCUGAAAGACGAUGGCAGCAACUAUACGGACUGGGUCCGAAACCUGAGGAUCAUCCCCAUAGCUGCCAAGAAAGAUUAUGUCCUACAAGCACCGCUUGGUGAUGCACCCGUUCUCCCUGUAGAACAAGACGUUAUGAACGCUUGGCAGGCACGUUUCGAUGACUACUCCCUCGUUCAGUGCGGCAUGCUUUACAGCCUAGAGCCGGGGCUCCAAAAAUGUUUUGAGAGACAUGGAGCAUAUGAGAUGUUCGAAGAGCUGAAAAUGGUUUUCCAAGCUCAUGCCCGGGUCGAGAGAUAUGAAGUCUCCGACAAAUUCUUUAGCUGUAAGAUGGAGGAAAACAGUUCUGUCAGUGAGCACAUACUCACUAUGUCUGGGUUGCAUAACCGCUUGACUCAGCUGGGAGUUAAUCUCCCGGUUGAUGCGGUCAUUGACAGAAUCCUCCAGUCGCUUCCACCAAGCUACAAGAGCUUUGUGAUGAACUUCAAUAUGCAGGGGAUGGAAAAGACCAUUCCUGAAGUAUUUGCUAUGCUGAAAUCAGCAGAGGUAGAAGUCAGGAAGGAACAUCAAGUGUUGAUGGUCAAUAAAACCACUAAGUUCAAGAAAGGCAAGGGUAAAAAGAACUUCAAGAAGGACGGCAAGGAGGUUGCCGCGCCCGGCAAGCAAGCUGCCGGGAAGAAGCCAAAGAAUGGACCCAAGCCCGAGACUGAGUGCUUUUAUUGCAAGGGAAGCGGUCACUGGAAGCGGAACUGCCCUAAGUACUUAGCGGAUAAGAAGGCCGGCAAAACAUGUUGGGGAACGUAGCAGAAAUUCAAAAAAAUUCCUACGUAUCACCAAGAUCUAUCUAUGGAGAGACCAGCAACGAGUAGAAAGGAGAGUGCAUCUACAUACCCUUGUAGAUCGCUAAGCGGAAGCGUUCAAGUGAACGGGGUUGAUGGAGUCGUACUCGUCGUGAUUCAGAUCACCGAUGAUCCUAGUGCCGAACGGACGGCACCUCCGCGUUCAACACACGUACAGCUCGACGAUGUCUCCCACACCUUGAUCCAGCAAGGAGAGAGGGAGAGGUUGAGGAAGACUCCAUCCAGCAGCAGCACAACGGCGUGGUGGUGAUGGAGGAGCGUGGCAAUCCUGCAGGGCUUCGCCAAGCACCUACGGGAGAGGAGGAGGUGUCACGGGAGGGAGGGAGGCGCCAAGGGCUCAGGUGUGGAUGCCCUCCCUCCCCUCCACUAUAUAUAGGGGCAGGGGAGAGGGGGGAGGCGCAGCCUUGCCCCUUCCUCCAAGGAAGGGGUGCGGCUAAGAGGGGGGGAGGAGUCCAUCCUCCCCAAGGCAUCUCGGAGGUGCCUUCCCCCUUUAGGACUCUCCCCUUUUUCCUAUAUCUUGGCGCAUGGGCCUCUAGGGGCUGGUGCCCUUGGCCCAUGUAGGCCAAGGCGCACCCCCUACAGCCCAUGUGGCCCCCCGGGGCAGGUGGCCCCAUCCGGUGGGCCCCCGGGACCCUUCCGGUGGUCCCGGUACAAUACCGAUGACCCCGAAACUUGUCCCGAUGGCCGAAACAGGACUUCCCAUAUAUAAAUCUUUACCUCCGGACCAUUCCGGAACUCCUCGUGAUGUCCGGGAUCUCAUCCGGGACUCCGAACAACAUUCGGUAACCACAUACAAACUUCCUUUAUAACCCUAGCGUCAUCGAACCUUAAGUGUGUAGACCCUACGGGUUCGGGAGACAUGUAGUCAUGACCGAGAUGUUCUCCGGUCAAUAACCAACAGCGGGAUCUGGAUACCCAUGUUGGCUCCCACAUGUUCCACGAUGAUCUCAUCGGAUGAACCACGAUGUCAAGGACUCAAUCAAUCCCGUAUACAAUUCCCUUUGUCUAGCAGUAUGGUACUUGCCCGAGAUUCGAUCGUCGGUAUACCGAUACCUUGUUCAAUCUCGUUACCGGCAAGUCUCUUUACUCGUUCCGUAACACAUCAUCCCGUGAUCAACCCCUUGGUCACAUUGUGCACAUUAUGAUGAUGUCCUACCGAGUGGGCCCAGAGAUACCUCUCCGUUUACACGGAGUGACAAAAUCCCAAUCUCGAUUCGUGCCAACCCAACAGCCACUUUCAGAGAUACCCGUAGUGUACCUUUAUAGCCACCCAGUUACGUUGUGACGUUUGGCACACCCAAAGCACUCCUACGGUAUCCGGGAGUUGCACAAUCUCAUGGUCUAAGGAAAUGAUACUUGACAUUAGAAAAGCUUUAGCAUACGAACUACAUGAUCUUGUGCUAGGCUUAGGAUUGGGUCUUGUCCAUCACAUCAUUCUCCUAAUGAUGUGAUCCCGUUAUCAACGACAUCCAAUGUCCAUGGUCAGGAAACCGUAACCAUCUAUUGAUUAACGAGCUAGUCAACUAGAGGCUUACUAGGGACAUGGUGUUGUCUAUGUAUCCACACAUGUAUCUGAGUUUCCUAUCAAUACAAUUCUAGCAUGGAUAAUAAACGAUUAUCAUGAACAAGGAAAUAUAAUAAUAAUCAAUUUAUUAUUGCCUCUAGGGCAUAUUUCCAACAGCAAGCCCCCCCUUUGGUCAUCCCAAUAUCGCCCAUUCUAUACUCUCAUGCUUGCAUUAGAUUUUGCUACUGUUAUUGUUUGCUCUUAUUCUGAUGCAUAGCCUGCUCUUUUACCUGCUAUUGUUACCUACCUGCUUAUCCUAAACUGCUUAGUAUGGGUUGGCUAGUGAUCAAUCAUUGACCCCCACCUUGUCCUCGUCGCCCCUGCUUCAUCAUCGACAACUCGAUCAACGUGAUCGACGACCAGAGCCCGACACCUCACAUCACAUCACGCCCCUUUUGUUGCUCGACUCUGCAGAGCUACUAUCGAGUGCCGACGGUGAUCCCUCAUAACGCACUCCUGAUGAUAAUUCUAUAGUGUAGCUAUUCGGUCGUGGUCAUCGAGGGUGAUUUCCUCUUUCACCAUUCCCGAUACGGCUCUGUCGUUCAACACCUCAAGUGUGAACCUCGAGGGUGGUCCCUCUUACGUUCACCUUGAUGAUUACAUUGAGUGGAAUCCACCGGGGGUGAUUCCUCGGGUUUUCCCCUUGAUGUUUGGACACACGGUUACAUUGGCUUUACUUGAGACCUUGGUGAAAGUCGAGAGGGCCCGGAGAGCACACGCAAGAUAAUGACAUGGCACGACCGGGCAUUCUGAGCCCUUGUCGUAAGUCCACGAGACGGGGCAACAGGGUCACUUUUGAUCGUGAGUCUCUGCUCGUCUCCGCAAGCUAAUAAUACACUAUGGUUUGGGUAUUUGUUCUGAGUUGGCCUUUGGCCUUUACGCACCAACCACCACGUGAGAAUAGUUAUGGGCCUCGACGUCGUGGUAUCAGUCGAAGUUUUGUCAGACGUCCAGUUCAGCAUCGUGGGCCUGUCACGCCAGUGCCAUCCAGUAUGAGGUGGUGCUCGUCCCGGCUCGUCGCACAACGACCCGGAGUGCAACGGGCGAUGGGCCCAGACCCCGGAGUGCUUAGGAUGUAAACCGGCGGGGACCUCUCUGCUGAGCCUAGGUAGGGCUGCGACGUGUUGAUCUUCCGAGGCCGGGCAUUGACCCAGAAAAGUGUGUCUGGCCAGAGUGAUCGAGCGUGUUGGAAAACGUGGUGCACCCCUGCAGGGAAGAUUAUCUAUUAAUAGUCGUGUCCAUGGUAACGGACGUUCAGACUUAUAUCCUGAUCUUAUACAACUACGAAUGGAUACUUGAAUAUGUGGCUCCGAGAUUGCUUUCUCGCAGGGAGUCGAGGAAAGAUCUAUGAGCAUUAAUGUUACAACAUGUUUGUUAAUUAUAAACUGCUAUUCUUUACUCUUCUACAUGCUGCAAGAUGCGAGGAGCUGCGUGAAGAUGCUAGUCUUCGAUAGUCUAGGCCUUCCCCCUCUAUUCUGGCAUUCUGCAGCUCAGUCCAAAAAUACAAACCUUCCAUUUGAUACCAAUGCAUACUUAGUAUAGAUCUGAUGCUUGCGAGUACAUUGGAUGAGUACUCACGGUUGCUUUGCUACCCCUUUUCCCCCUUCUUUCUUCUUUCCGGUUGAUGCAACCAGGUGGUGGAUCCUUGGAGCCAGAUGCCACCGCCGACGGAUACUGCUACUUGGAGACCGCCGCCGACGAGGAGUAGUUAGGAGGUCCCAGGCAGGAGGCCUUGCCUCUUCGAUCGUGUUGCUUUUGUGCUAGCCUUCUUAAGGCAAACUUGUUUAACUUAUGUCUGUACCCAGAUAUUGUUGCUUCCGCUGACUCUUGUGUAUCGAGUGUAUCGAGCUAUGUAUUCGAGCCCUCGAGGCCCCUGGCUUGUAAUAUAAAGCUUGUAUUAUUUUAUUUGUGUCUAGAGUUGUGUUGUGAUAUCUUCCCG